AGAGUUUGAUCCUGGCUCAGGAUGAACGCUAGCUACAGGCUUAACACAUGCAAGUCGAGGGGAAACGACGCGGGAGGCUUGCCUCCUGCGGGCGUCGACCGGCGCACGGGUGCGUAACGCGUAUCCAACCUGCCCCCAACCCCGGCAUAGUCCCCCGAAAGGGGGGUUAACUCCGGAUGCUGCGUGAUUGCCGCAUGGCAGUUGCGCGAAAUGUUCAAGGUUGGGGCUGGGGAUGCGUCCCAUUAGGUAGUAGGCGGGGCAACGGCCCACCUAGCCGACGAUGGGUAGGGGUUCUGAGAGGAAGGUCCCCCACAUUGGAACUGAGACACGGUCCAAACUCCUACGGGAGGCAGCAGUGAGGAAUAUUGGUCAAUGGGCGGAAGCCUGAACCAGCCAAGUAGCGUGCGGGAUGACGGCCCUACGGGUUGUAAACCGCUUUUUCAGGGGGGUAAAGUGCGCCACGCGUGGCGUUUUGCAAGUACCCUGCGAAUAAGGACCGGCUAAUUCCGUGCCAGCAGCCGCGGUAAUACGGAAGGUCCGGGCGUUAUCCGGAUUUAUUGGGUUUAAAGGGAGCGCAGGCGGGAUGUCAAGUCAGCUGUGAAAAGCCGCGGCCCAACCGUGGUCGUGCAGUUGAUACUGGCGUUCUUGAGUGCGCGCGAGGACGGUGGAAUUCGUGGUGUAGCGGUGAAAUGCUUAGAUAUCACGAAGAACUCCGAUUGCGAAGGCAGCCGUCCGGAGCGUUACUGACGCUGAGGCUCGAAGGUGCGGGUAUCAAACAGGAUUAGAUACCCUGGUAGUCCGCACAGUAAACGAUGGAUGCCGGCUGUCGGCGACAGAAUGUCGGCGGCCACGCGAAAGUUUUAAGCAUCCCACCUGGGGAGU
rnacentral:rRNA from 1 species